GUGCCAGCCGCCGCGGUAAUACGGAGGGUGCAAGCGUUGUCCGGAAUCACUGGGCGUAAAGGGUGCGCAGGCGGGGCAGCAAGUCGGAGGUGAAAGCCCAUGGCUCAACCAUGGAAGUGCCUUCGAAACUGUUGCUCUUGAGUCCCGGAGAGGCUGUCGGAAUUCGUGGUGUAGCGGUGAAAUGCGUAGAUAUCACGAGGAACACCAGUGGCGAAGGCGGCCGGCUGGACUGUAACUGACGUUGAGGCACGAAAGCGUGGGGAGCGAACAGGAUUAGAAACCUGGUAGUCU
rnacentral:rRNA from 1 species